CUGCUGGGAGGAUAGAACAGGCAUCUAUCACACCCUUGUGGUAUAAAGAGAUGCAGGAUAUGCCACCCUGCCUCAGCAG
rnacentral:ncRNA from 1 species